ACACGUCCAGCACAUCGGGCUGAUAGCGC
rnacentral:sRNA from 1 species